AACACGAAAUUGUCCAUAUUUUGAGUUAGAGCUGAUGAAGUUUUCUAUAAUUUUGAUAUAAUUUGUCCCAAAAGUAGUACAACACACUGUAAAAAUGUUAUUGAGAAAGCGCAGGUGGGAUUUUUUUUAUUUACAUUUAUUGUCUAAAAGAAAUGCACUACGAAAUAACUGUGUACUCGGACCUAAGAGGUGAAAUCAGGAAAUAUAGAAUCUGUACUUUGGCAACUUCCCUGAAUGAUUUGAUGGUGUCAAUUUGUCAAAUAGCAUAAAACUAAAGGAUUUAAACUUUUAUUUGAUAGAAUUUCUGCAAAAAUGACCAAUUUUGGCAUUAUAUGGUCAAAAUAAGCAUUUCAUAGCUUUUUCAAUUUUGAUGCAUAAGUGGCAUUUUGACUUUCUAUCUGACAUGUUUUCAUGUGUCAAUUUUUGUGUUUCUAUGAUUUAAUCCAGUUGUAUUACUCAUUUGUGAACUCUGAAUUUACAGAAAAGAAGAUUAUCUCAGACAAUAUGAGCAAAGUGUGUUGUAUAAAUGACCCUCAUCUAACGCCCUGUUUGGAUCAAGUUAAAUGUGAGGAGCAUGGUACAUAAAAGUUGAAGUCCAUAAUAAAGACCUCACUAAAUUUGUAUAAAAAGCACUUAACAAUGUCUUUUGUACCUGUUUCAUUUCACAUAAUAUCUUUCUUUACCUCUGUAGGAUACCAUGUGGUUCAAAUAUAAGCCUGUUGAGACUAAAAUUGCAUGCAAGUAUUUCACUAAAAAGUGAAAAAUCUUUGUAUCAGACCAUACUGUCUGCUCAAAAAGUUGAAUGUAAGAGGCUUUUUGUGCUCAGAUUCAUUGUAUCAUGUCACCUGAGUAUAGAAAUGAUAGAAAAGACACAAUUUUUUAUUUCCUAUAGCUUCAAUAUGCAUUUUUAAAUGUAAAUAUGUGCUACGGCCUAAAUUGACCCUAAAUUAUUUUUAGUCAUACUUGGCCUAAGACCCUUUUAAACUAAUAUGAUAUGUUAUUUGUAAGUUUUCUUUCCAUUUAAAGUACAUUAAGUACAUAUGUAAGGAUCAUUUAUAAUCAAAAAGCUUCACAAAUUUAAAAUUGCUGGAAAAUAUUACAUCUUCAUGUAAGGCUCCCCUUCAUUGGAAAACCUCCAUUUUUAGGCACAGGCUCAUAUAAAUUUGACUUUUGAAAAAUUAUGCUAAGUCUGAUAUAUAAAAUGAGUACUCUAUUGCUUUAAAUACAUGAUGUAUUAUAUAUUAAGGCAUUGUAAAAGUAUUUUUUUGCAAUAUUUUAAUUUUAAAAGCCCCAAAUGUUGAUAGUUGAAAUUUCUCAAUUUUAACGUCCAAAUUUAACUCGUAAAGUUGAAUAUAGAAUUAAUCAUAGUGUCUAUAAUAUAUAUCCUAUUGCUAUGAAACUUUGUAAGCAGUCUUAUAAUAUAUUAGGCUUGUGUCAUACCAAGUUUUAUAAAGAUUGGUCAACUUUUUCUAUCCUAUUAGGUCCGAGUACACAGUUAUUGUCCUUUGAUUUUCGUUGUCCACGAAUAUAGUCCUUAAUGUGGACAGUGUGUUACUUGCCAAUUUUUGUUAUACCCCUUCCAAAUUUAAUUCUCCAUGUUUUAUGCCUCAUAUAGCAAGUUGGGGGGUGAAAUGACACUGUAAAAAAAUUUGGGUCAUAAAUAUUUAGGUAAAGUAGUGAUUAGGUCCAGCUGAAAAAGGUCAAAAAUUAGCACUUCGGAAGCUGUCAAAAGAUUUCAAGACCCCCUUAACACAAAAUUGUCCAUAUUUUGAGUUAGAGCUGAUGAAGUUUUCUAUAAUUUUGAUAUAAUUUGUCCCAAAAGUAGUACAACACACUGUAAAAAUGUUAUUGAGAAAGCGCAGGUGGGAUUUUUUUUAUUUACAUUUAUUGUCUAAAAGAAAUGCACUACGAAAUAACUGUGUACUCGGACCAGAUCAUCAAUAUAAGCAUAACAACGGUCUAAAUCUUUUAUAACAUUAUUGAUCAUUCUUUGAAAUGUA
rnacentral:lncRNA from 1 species